rnacentral:rRNA from 1 species
AUUGAACGCUGGCGGCAGGCCUAACACAUGCAAGUCGAACGGUAACAGGAAGCAGCUUGCUGCUUCGCUGACGAGUGGCGGACGGGUGAGUAAUGUCUGGGAAGCUGCCUGAUGGAGUGGGAUAACUACUGGAAACGGUAGCUAAUACCGCAUAAUGUCGCAAGACCAAAGAGGGGGACCUUCGGGCCUCUUGCCAUCGGAUGUGCCCAGAUGGGAUUAGCUUGUUGGUGGGGUAACGGCUCACCAAGGCGACGAUCCCUAGCUGGUCUGAGAGGAUGACCAGCCACACUGGAACUGAGACACGGUCCAGACUCCUACGGGAGGCAGCAGUGGGGAAUAUUGCACAAAGGGCGCAAGCCUGAUGCAGCCAUGCCGCGUGUAUGAAGAAGGCCUUCGGGUUGUAAAGUACUUUCAGCGGGGAGGAAGGGAGUAAAGUUAAUACCUUUGCUCAUUGACGUUACCCGCAGAAGAAGCACCGGCUAACUCCGUG